CCAAAGGCUCUUUUAAGAGCCACCACAUCGGCACUAAAGAGCUGUUU
rfam:Chaetura pelagica isolate M959 contig50896, whole genome shotgun sequence.